ACUGUGAAUAUGCUUUAUUGUUUCUUUAUGUGAUAAAUGACUAGUCUAAGCUUCAGUUUUUUGUUCUUGUCUUUUAAUGUAUUAUUAAACUAUUAUGGCUUGUAAUCAAUGUUUUAAAUUAAUUUAUCCUGUCUGAUUUUCCAGCCGUUAUCCUUGCUGAAAUCCUAGAAGAUGAUGUUUUGGUCUUCCCCCACAUGUAUAAGAGGAGUUUGAAAGAGUUGCAUAAAAUGCUUCAUUGGUGCAAUGAGCAUUUCAACAGUUCAGCCAUGUAAACAAGGAGGCACUAGAUCAACAUGUAAAUCUCACUAGGAAACAGGAGGAACUUCAGACACGGCAAGCUGAACUUGAGGCAAGUGACAAGG